AUUGAACGCUGGCGGCAUGCCUUACACAUGCAAGUCGAACGGCAGCACGGGUGCUUGCACUUGGUGGCGAGUGGCGAACGGGUGAGUAAUACAUCGGAACAUGUCCUGUAGUGGGGGAUAGCCCGGCGAAAGCCGGAUUAAUACCGCAUACGAACUACGGAUGAAAGCGGGGGACGUUCGGGACUCGCGCUAUCGGGUUGGCCGAUGGCUGAUUGGCUAGUUGGUGGGGUAAAGGCCUACCAAGGCGACGAUCAGUAGCUGGUCUGAGAGGACGACCAGCCACACUGGGACUGAGACACGGCCCAGACUCCUACGGGAGGCAGCAGUGGGGAAUUUUGGACAAUGGGCGAAAGCCUGAUCCAGCAAUGCCGCGUGUGUGAAGAAGGCCUUCGGGUUGGAAAGCACUUUUGUCCGGAAAGAAAUCCUUGGCCCUAAGACGGUCGGGGGAUGACGGUACCGGAAGAAUAAGCACCGGCUAACUACGUG
rnacentral:rRNA from 1 species